UUUGUGUUUCUUUUUAGCUGUUUUGUUCUGUUUGAAUAACUUAGCAUUAUUUUUCUCAUCAGUGGGAGGAGUCAUAGUGACCAGCCAGUAACCAUAAAGCAGGACAUGGAUGCAUCCAAGUGUGCUUCCACAGAUCCCUUAACGUACAGGCUGUUCUAUCUGUGAUCAAAAUGAAAGUGCAGAAAGACACCAGCAGUGAAAUCCACACAAACUACUACACCAACAAUCACCUAUAUGGCAACAUGGAGGCUGAAGAGGCUGGUGACCAAUUCGAAUGUGUGAACAUAACAGGAAACGUGGGAGGAUAUAAAAAACAAUAGAGGUGGUGUUG